rnacentral:rRNA from 1 species
ACGGGAGGCAGCAGCAGGGAAUAUUGCACAAUGGGGGAAACCCUGAUGCAGCGACGCCGCGUGAGUGAUGAAGUAUUUCGGUACGUAAAGCUCUAUCAGCAGGGAAGAUAAUGACGGUGCCUGACUAAGAAGCCCCGGCUAGCUACGUGCCAGCAGCCGCGGUAAUACGUAGGGGGCAAGCGUUAUCCGGAUUUACUGGGUGUAAAGGGAGUGUAGGUGGUCUGGCAAGUCAGAUGUGAAAGCCCGCGGCUCAACCGCGGGACUGCAUUUGAAACUGUCAGACUGGAGUGCAGGAGAGGAAAGUGGAAUUCCUAGUGUAGCGGUGAAAUGCGUAGAUAUUAGGAGGAACACCAGUGGCGAAGGCGGCUUACUGGGCUUUUACUGACGCUGAGGCUCGAAAGCGUGGGGAGCAAACAGGAUUAGAUACCCUGGUA